rnacentral:lncRNA from 1 species
UCCUUCAGGACCUGUGGUGGGAAUGUCCAGGACUGGUCAGCCUGUGAGCCUGUAACAUGGAUACAGUGGAGCCAGAACAAACUGUCCAGAACAGCCAGACAUAACAGUCAGCAGCAAGAUGAACUGGACAGUCAAAAAUAAACUCCAGGAAUGAAAAGAGUGUGGGAGUGCUACUCAGGUGUCUUAUGUCUGGUGUAAAAACAUGGACCUGAAGAGGGCCAGCAAGCUUCCUCAGGGAUUACUGAGGCAUCUCCUUGGAAACCAUACCUCAUUAAUCCUGCUGUGAAGUAAGAGGCAGCCAGGACCCCAAGCUUUUCCUUUUUCUGAGCCACAUUCUGUUCUGGCCAGCUCGGACACCUUACAUGGAGGCUGACAGGGCUCAACACCCAGCACCCAUCAGGACUCACUACCAUCUGUAAACUGAGCAGCCUGGAGGAAGCCUGUUGACUAGCAGUGCCAGAGAGGUCUCUUCUCUUUCUUUGCCUAUGUAAAGUAAUUUCUUUUAGGUGUGGUGAUUAACUUAUUGAAAUUCAGGUGAAGACAUUUGACAAUUUGACAGAGGGAAGAAAAGUGCUACAUGAAAAUAUGCACUCUUCUCAAAUGUUCUCAAAGAGACUUUUAACCUUUAGUCCCAGUAGAUACUUCUCGUUUGG